rnacentral:rRNA from 1 species
UACGUAGGGUGCGAGCGUUGUCCGGAAUUAUUGGGCGUAAAGAGCUCGUAGGCGGUCUGUCGCGUCGAUCGUGAAAACUUGGGGCUUAACCCUGAGCUUGCGGUCGAUACGGGCAUGACUGGAGUUCGGCAGGGGAGACUGGAAUUCCUGGUGUAGCGGUGAAAUGCGCAGAUAUCAGGAGGAACACCGGUGGCGAAGGCGGGUCUCUGGGCCGAUACUGACGCUAAGGAGCGAAAGCGUGGGGAGCGAACAGG